UGUUGAUGGAGCUGUUGGUGUAGAUUCUAUUUCAGUGGUAGAAGGAUAUUGAGUGGAUGGUGUCUGCUGGUUUGUUGUUUGUUCUAUACUAGAUGAUGGUAUCUCUGUUGUAAAUGAAGUGAAUUCUGAUGAUGUCUGUCCUUCUGUUGUAGACGAUGCUGAAGAUGGAGUAGAAUCUGUUGUGGAUGUUGUUGUUCCCAGUGUUGAACCACUUUCACUUGUAGAUGAUUCUAUUGUGGUUUUGCUCACAGGAGGAUACAGCUGUUGUCAAUGUUGAUGGAGCUGUUGGUGUAGAUUCUAUUCAGUGGUAGAACUAUAUUGAGUGGAUGGUGUCUCUUGAUUUGUUGUUUGAUCUACACUAGAUGAUAAAAUCUCUGUUGUAGAUGAAGUGAAUUCUGAUGUUGUCUGUGCUUCUGUUGUAGACGAUGGUAAAGAUGCAGUAGAAUCUGUUGGAAAUGAUGUUGUUCCCAGUGUUGAACCACUUUCACUUGUAGAUGUAUUCUGUUGUGGUGUGCUCGGAGAGGGACACUAGUCGUUGAUGGAGCUGUUGUUGUAGAUUCUAUUCAGUGGUUGACGUAAUAUUGUAGUGGAGUUGGUGUCUGCUGGUUUGUUGUUUGAUCUACACUAGAUGAUAAAUCUCUGUUGUAGAUGAAGUGAAUUCUGAUGUUGUCUGUCCUUCUGUUGUAGACGAUGGUAAAGAUGCAGUAGAAUCUGUUGGAAAUGAUGUUGUUCCCAGUUGUUAACCACUUUCACUUGUAGAUGAUUCUAUUGUGGUUGUGCUCACAUGAGAUACAGCUGUUGUAAGUGUUGAUGGAGCUGUUGUUGUAGAUUCGAUAUCAGUGGUAGAAGUAUAUUGAUUGGUUGGUGUCUGCUGGUUUGUUGUUUGUUCUAAACUAGAUGAUGAUAUCUCUGUUGUAGAUGAAGUGAAUUCUGAUGAUGUCUGUCCUUCUGUUGUAGACGAUGGUGAAGAUGGAGUAGAAUCUGUUGGAAAUGAUGUUGUUCCUAGUGUUGAACCACUUUCACUUGUAGAUGAUUCUAUUGUGGUUGUGCUCAGGGGGGACACAGCUGUUGUAAAUGUUGAUGGAGCUGUUGUAGAUUCUAUAUCAGUGAUAGAAGUAUAUUGAGUGGUUGGUGUCUGCCUAGGUUUCCGUUGGUUUGGUUCUACCUACGUAGAUGAGAGUAUAUCUCUGUUGUAGAUGAAGUGAAUUCUGUUGUUAUCUGUGCUUCUGUUGUAGACGAUGGUGAAGAUGGAGUAGAAUCUGUUGUUGUUCCCAGUGUUGAACCACUUUCACUUGUAAAUGAUUCUAUUGUUGUUGAGCUCACAGGAGAUACAGCUGUUGUAAAUGUUGAUGGAGCUGUUGGUGUAGAUUCUAUUUCAGUGGUUGAAGUAUAUUGAGUGGAUUGUCUCUGCUGGUUUGUUUUUUGUUCUAUACUAGAGGAUGAUAUCUCUGUUGUAGAUGAAGUGAAUUCUGAUGUUGUCUGUGUGUCUGAUGGUGAAGUUAAAAUAGUUCUUGAAUAUUAUUGUUAAAGUGGAAAUCAGUUUUGGAAACUUUUGUAACUGCUUUAUUUUAAAAGUAUGUUUUUGUUUAAAUUUGACUUUAAUAUUUAUUUACUCUUGCACUGAGUUUUUAUGUGUCUUUCAUAAGCUUAAGCUAUUGUUUGUUUUUGUAUUAACAUUAAUAUUUGUCCAAAUUUAACAAAUUUAUAUGCUUUAAGCUUAUUGUUUUGUUUUUUGUAUUUAACAUUAAUAUUUGUCCAAAUUUAACAAAUUUAUAUUCUAGAGCUUUAUCAGUAUGUAUAUUUGUCACAUACCACUCUUUGUGUAUUUAUAGCAUGGGUGCUAUGAAUACAUCCUCAGUCUUUGUGUACUAGUUUGACAGCAUCCUACUUGAUUAAAUUACAAAUUGACUGCUGUUAUGUCAAAGAUUUUUUUAGCCAAUUUGUAAGUCAGAGACAUGGGAGAAUUGAUUAAAAUUGUG
rnacentral:lncRNA from 1 species